AUUCAUCUUGCAGCAACAAGUUCUGUCAGACAAAGAGCAUUUUCGAAGCCAAACUACAGAAGGCAGCGGGAGAGAGCCAAAGUAUGUUGUCGGUCUGGCCGCGCUCCAAAUUUCCAGUUCUAGCAGAUUUAUACCCUAAAUGUGACUGAAAGGGGAGAGAUUAGCUUGCAGAAGGCUGCAUGUGCAAGUUUUCAAUCAUCUCUGCGCGGACGUCAAAUCUAACCUGCUUUUAAGUGUACGAGAAAUGAUUCUGAGAAAGGCUCUCAGAGGGAGAAGAAAGAAGAAAAAAUUAUCAUCACAGAGAACUAUAGCAGCAGAAAACUACUGCGUCUCCCUUCUUCCUGCAUUAGCAGCCUCUGCUGCUACUUGUUACACCUAACUGGACCACACCUCGAGUAAUCUUCGUACCGAGUCAGACCUCUGUGGUAGUACUUACCUGGAAUGCUAUUAUCCACCAGAGUUUGUUGCUGGUUCUUCUACUCCAGUCCAGUCACCAGAACCCCUCUGCCUGUCCCACUCAUCCCUCUUCAACCAAAAGAGUCCAAUCAUCUCUACACUCAUCCUGAGUCAGGAUUCGUCCCUCAAUCAGCACUGGGAACCUUCAGGAAACAAAUAACAACAAGUGAGGUCCAAGAAAGAUAAACUAAUUUAUCUCCUGUUCUUCCCUGUUCUCAGUUUGUUUCCUGCUCGUCUGUCUCAAUCACUGACUUCUGUUGGAUUUUUCUUUGGAAUUUCACCGAUUGCACAACAAAUCUGGUUAUAUUUUACUCCCCCGUUCUCAUUAUGGUUUUGAGUCAAAAAGCAAAAUCAAAGCUCAGCGAAUGGGAUUCAUGUCGUUUCCGGUGAAGUUGCUAAAAUGUGUUACUUUAUAUGCCUGUGUUUGUGGUGCAAGCAAAUAUUGAUCCUGCAGAAGAUAAUAGUAUCAAAUGUGUCAUAGUAAGAAAGAAAUUGAUUUGAGGAAAUGUAAUAUAUUGCCAAUAUACUAAAACAUUUUUACUAUUUUUUUCACUUUCAUGUCCUCUGUAUUUAUAUCAUAUGAAAUAUAGUGGAUUUCAAACACUCUGUA